AUACAAAAAGAAUCAAAAAAAUUGAGCAUUACAAAAAUGAUACUGUGAGCAAGGACCGUUAUAAGUAACGUUUGAGAGGAAAAAAAGUUUCAAGGGAAUUUCUAUAUAUUCAUUUAAUAUUCUUAAACAGGAAGUGAAUAGAAAGUGGAACACCGGAUAAGCUCCGUGUUCAAAUCCCCGCAUCGAAAUUAAUAAAAGAAAUUGUACGAAGAUUAAACGAUCAGAGAAGUUGAAGCAACAGACGCAUGGCCAUUAAUCCAAAAAAUAAAAAAUUGAAAUAUUAUAAAUUAAAUGUACACUUUUUAGAAUAAGAUGGUCUUUGUUACUCUGAGUUUAGCUGCAUUUGUUUUGACUGGAUUAGGAACAUGUCUACUCUCGUGCGCAUUAUACGGACUAAUGAAAAGAUUGGGAGAUUUGGAAAACGACAUGAGAAGGCAAAAUACAACAUGGCGACGAUCACAAGGGGCAUAAUUAAUGUUAGACUAAAAUGUUAGAAUUGUUUUUAUUUAUGUAAAUUUGUUUCAAUAAUUGUUUUUAAAAUC